rnacentral:rRNA from 1 species
CAGUAGCCGCGGUAAUACGGAGGGGGCUAGCGUUGUUCGGAAUUACUGGGCGUAAAGCGCGCGUAGGCGGUUACUCAAGUCAGAGGUGAAAGCCCGGGGCUCAACCCCGGAACUGCCUUUGAAACUAGGUGACUAGAAUCUUGGAGAGGUCAGUGGAAUUCCGAGUGUAGAGGUGAAAUUCGUAGAUAUUCGGAAGAACACCAGUGGCGAAGGCGACUGACUGGACAAGUAUUGACGCUGAGGUGCGAAAGCGUGGGGAGCAAACAGGAUUAGAUACCCCCGUAGUCCCUGUCUCUUAUAC